rnacentral:rRNA from 1 species
CCUACGGGAGGCAGCAGUGGGGAAUAUUGCGCAAUGGGCGAAAGCCUGACGCAGCGACGCCGCGUGAGGGAUGAAGGUCUUCGGAUCGUUAACCUCUGUCAGCAGGGAAGAACGGUCACUGUGCUAAUCAGCAGUGAAUUGACGGUACCUGCAAAGGAAGCACCGGCUAACUCCGUGCCAGCAGCCGCGGUAAUACGGAGGGUGCGAGCGUUAAUCGGAAUUACUGGGCGUAAAGCGCUCGUAGGCGGUAUGUCAAGUCAAGGGUGAAAUCCCCGCGCUCAACGUGGGAACUGCCUUUGAAACUGGCAAACUGGAGUGUGUGAGAGGAUAGUGGAGUUCCAGGUGUAGGAGUGAAAUCCGUAGAUAUCUGGAGGAACAUCAGUGGCGAAGGCGACUAUCUGGCACAUAACUGACGCUGAGGAGCGAAAGCGUGGGUAGCAAACAGGAUUAGAUACCCUGGUAGUC